rnacentral:lncRNA from 1 species
UUCCUAUCUCAAAGUUAAUUAGCCCAAAUUCAGGACCCAAAUCCCUAAAAGCCUAAAACAUUGAGCCCAUUUCCCAUUUGACCUAACUUAAUUCCUACCCCUGUAAAAUAAAGCUAGACCUAUACGCCCUAAGAGAUAGAGAGCAGCCUUGAGGUAUCUUCUUCAGCAACAAAAAACGGCGCUAUUAAAAUUCUCUACUAAGAAAGCACAUCUGUAAAACCAAUUGGCUAGAGUACGUCUCCGUCAAGCCAAGCUUUUUCUCUGGGGCAUCAAUUAAGAAAGAACAAAAGCAACUUAUUUAAAAGGGGGAUGGCGAAAAGAGAUGAGAAACAGAGGGUGCAACAUUAGGAAAUGCUAGUAGCUUCUUUCUUCAUGAAAAAUUAGCCAUUAACAACCAAAAUAAAAAGCCUCAAACUCAAGCUCCAAAACUCCACUGAAACCAGCCAAGAAAAGCUUCAAAAUUGCAGAAAUUUCAGCCAAAACACAGCACCAACGUCACCCAUAAACCCACCCCAAAAACGCCCUGAAAGCUGUCCGAAAAUCACUCCAAAACCCAGCAAAAAACCAGCUGCUGAAAUCGCUUGAAAAACAGUCCGAAAUCUGGCCAAAAAACAGUCGAAACUUAGCGAAAAACAGCUAUAUAAUCUGCCGCAAAAGCACCAGCUCACCCAUAAAGCAUUCAAGGUUUCCGGCGCCGGCGUGGGUCUCGAUCGGAUCGUUGUUUGUUUGCUGCUGUUUCGCUUCAUUUGUAAUUGAAUUCGUGGCUGUUCUUAGCCUUUAUUUGGUCCUGCUGAGUUUGUUUCUUGCUGUUGAGGCAUGUAGCUCAGUUUAGACAAUGUAAUUGUUAAUUAAAUAUCAUGAUAUUAUUCGAUUUGUUCACUUAGAAUCGGCAUAUAUUCUGGUUGUUUGAAUUGUUUGGAUUCGUUGUUGUUUCGUGAAGAGUGAAUGUUUAUCGAUAUAUGUUAACACAAAACCUUGAAAUGUUAUACAAGUAAUAGUUGGAAGACUCAGAUCAAACCAACAUUGAAAAAUAUUCUUUUAAACUUUACAAUACUAAGUUUUCUUAAGAGUUGGAUCUGUAGUCAAAAUCCUAAUGUUUUACAUUUUUCUGCAAUACAAAUGUGUCCAAAGGCGUCACUAUUCAAUAUGCAAGAAUUGCUAUUGAUGGUUAUGUACUAGUGAUAGCAACAAAAUGAUAUUUUAAGAGAAAUCUUGAUUGGUUGUACCUCAUCAACGUUUACCGUAGAUUGAUUGUGUAUAGCCGGAAAUUCACCGACGAACUUGGG